rnacentral:snRNA from 1 species
ACCUUUGUGCAGUGGCAGUAUCAUAGCCAAGGAGGUUUAUCUGAGGCGUGAUUAUUGCUAAUUGAAAACUUUUUCCAAUACCAAUAUAAACUAUACCCAAUAAAACUAAUCUUAGCAUUAGUUUUUAAGUG